UGUUAUAUUAUUACUUAUCCUAGUAUAUUAAUGGCUAUAUAACAUAGCUAUGUCCCAAAUACAUGUAAUACAUAUUACUUUUCAUCUCAUUUAAACCUCACGAGAGUUCUUUGGUGAAGAUAUGAUUACCAUUUUACAGAUGAGAAAACCUGAGAAGAAUAGAAGCUAAGUAGCAUGCCAAGCUUACCCAACUAGCUCUCAUUCAUUCAUUCAUGAUUCAUGAAGUAUUUAUCAAACAACUACUAUAUACUGUCAUUAAAGAUACAAAAAGGAUCAAACAUAAUCCUUGCCUUCAAAGAAGCCACAGUCUAAGGUUAGCAAGUGGGCUGGAGCGGAAUUUGGUUUUAUCAUUUCAAAGGCAAAGGAACCCAGAUUGGAGAGUUUUCUGGCAACUGCCUUAGGACUUUUUGGCCAAGAUUAUUGUAAUAUAUAAAGGUAAGCAUCAAUGUGUUGGUGGGAAGAAGUAUCCUAGAAAUUUUUUUUUUUUUUUACUGUAUCCAGGACUCUUAUGAACUACUAAUUCAUUAUUAAGUUAUUUGAUGACACAGAUUAUUGUUCAAGAAUUUCCUCCCAGAGCAAUUGAUAAAUAUCAAAUAAUUUGUAUGAUGAGCAGUUCCAGAAAGGGUUAAAGUUAGCUUCUCUGGGACAUAUGACAGGAAAGUAGCUGAACAUGAUUUCAAAGGGAUUUUUUAGGAGAAAAUUCCAAUUACAGAGAAGUAAUUUCCCUUUCUAGCUUACUAAGCCCUAUUUCAGACUAAUGCAGUUUGAAGAUCAUCUCCCUUCUCCCCUUAUUUCAACAGAUAUUUUGAAUGUGAAAAUCUUAUGUCAAAACUUAGCUGAAGCCUUCAUCAGGCUUUUGAAAGGCUAAGUAAGAAUUCUGUUUCUAGGAAUAAAAAGAUUUGGAUCAGAAAGAUUCUUUGCUGGCUAGAGUUCCUUUUCGGAUGGUAGUUCAAGCAGUCUUUAAUCAUAUUUUUGUUGAUUAUUUAUUAGUUUCCCUGGGAAAUCAAAGACUCAGUAAUGUAAAAUGUGUUUUCCUUAAGAUAUUUUAUGAAUCAGAACCCACAGUAAAGAAAUAAUGGGAAAUACAUUUCCUUUGCUGAUAUGGACUAAUUGAGAAUUAAAAUCCCUUUCUCUAGUCAUUAUCCCACAUGGAAAUGCUGAAUGACCCAACUGGCCCAAUUGCAGCAACCGCAGUUUCUGCCUAGACAAAACUCUUAUGCCACUAGUAGAUAAAGAGAGAGCUUUCUCAGUAAAUCAAAACUGCAGAGGACUAGAACUAAUUUAAGUGAAAGGAUAGGCUCCAAGCCAGCUGUUUGGGUAAACCCACACUGAAUCAAGUGAGCGACUGAUGAAACUUAAUAUGUGUGUAUUCCAGUCAUCAGCCUGGAGUAUGUGUAAUGCAAGCCCGUGGUGUUUGUCACUGUGAGAAAUGCAAAGGCAGACCUUCAUUCUCAACUGUGUGGGGCUGCCAGCCUGUGACUGCUUUGGUCAACAUCGGGCUUGCUUUUGGGUGAGCCAGACUUUGGCUGGUUUCCUGAUGGAGGUUAGGGGAAUUGUGAAGUGUGUCUCCUUACACAGAUCGUCCUGAUCAAAUGAAAUAAAAAGGUAUUUUAAAAAUAAUUUGCUUAGUGAAAUACAAAGGAAAUAGGAUGCAUUUCAUACUAUUAAGGCCAAUAUGGUUUUGGGGGAUACGAGGUGUACAUACGUGAAAAAUUUGAAAACAAUUCAGAGUAAAAAAGAAUGGUCGUAUAACCUAAUGUAAAUGACGAGUUAAUGGGUGCAGCACACCAACAUGGCACAUGUAUACAUAUGUAACAAACCUGCACGUUGUGCACAUGUACCCUAAAACUUAAAGUAUAAUUAAAAAAAAAAAAACAAACAAAAAGAAUGGUCGUGUAAUAGAGACAGUGGUGAAGAGCAGGACUCUGGAGCCACAUGUUCUGAGUUCAGAGCCCACUCUGCCACUUACUAGAUCUGAGACCUGGAGGAAGUUAUUUGCCCUUUCCCUGUUUGGCUCUUUUGUAAAAUGGAAAUAUGAGAGUACCCACCUCCUAAGGUGGGCUUAUGAAUUAAUAGAUAUAAAAGUAUGUAAAAUUAUUGCUAUCAUUAGUUACUGUUAUUAAUAGAUCAGAAGUCACAAGCUCCAAUGCCUGCAGUGCCCAUGAAUACCAAAACAGGGAUCACUGGCAACAGAGACAUGGCCCCAGUGGCGUGGAGAUAAAAGAAAGUGGUAGGGACAGUGGCAGACAGCCAUCACCCUACUCCCCACUGAUUGUGACCUUAAGGGAAUGCUGGUCCUGUGUUGCCAGAGCUUCUGAUAUUGCCAAAGAAGCUUGAAAUCUGGACUUGGUCAAAAAAUCCCUCAACUUGUAAAGGUGGUUGCUUUAUUUUAAAAUACUCUACAAGCCAAAUAAAACACUGUCUCCAGGCUAUUGGCCACCAAUGAAUGACCUCUUUGGACUAACAAUGAAACUCAGCUAUGGAAAUUCAUCUGAUUACUUUAUUGUCACACUGUGAAACAGGGAUUCAUUGUCAUUCCAGAAACAGCCAUUGAGUCCCUGCUUGUGUCCACCCCUGUGCUGGUGCAAAGGAUAUGCCCAAGAAUCAGGCAGACAAUCCAAAGAAGCCACCUGCUCUUUUACAAGUUGUUGACAAUUAAGAAACACCUAGCACUUAAUAGAUAUUUCAUAAAUGUGGGUUCCAACUCCUUCCAUUAUCUUUCAUAAGUCUAGACCUGAUCCAGUAUUUGAGGGCCAAUCUCAGUUUCUGAGUAGGAAUAGUGAUACUGUUGAAAACUAAUGAAUGCACCGACAAUAUCACAGAAAUACUCCUAUACUUCUUCAAUGUGAGUUUCCUGCUUUUUGUCUGAUUUAUCAUCCCCUUUUAUUUGAUGUCUCUACUCAGGACUUAUGGACUCGGGCUGUGAUAUUUUGUAUGUUACCUCACAAUUUUUUUUCUGUUUUUUUUUUUUUUUUUCUUUAAGUGUAUAAGCUUCCUUUAUACUUCCAAAGUAUCUUCACUGGAACUCUGCUUCUGUGAGCUAAACCAGUGUCAUACUGCAAUGAAAACUGCAGGUGAUAAACAUUGUCUAAAUAAAAUUUCCAAAAAGUAUUUGACCAAGAAAUACCUUCCCCUUGCAUUCCCCACUUAAUGCAUCUUAAUAUGCCAAGUUACUGAUAUUGUUUGACCUAUUUGGGGAAAUGCUGGCUUGCCAAAUUAUUGCCCUUGUUAGGAACUACAGUUUCUUGUAAUUUCUUCCCCACUCCAGCAUCCACACAGGUAUCUUCCAAAGCUCAGACUUUAUUUUCAAGAAGUCUAUCUGAGACCAGUCUGGGUAACAAAGUGAGACCCUGUCUCCACAAAUAAUAAUAAUAAUAAUAAUGAUAAUAAUAAUAAUAAUAAUAAUAAAUUAGCUGCAUGUGGUGGCAUGUGCCUGUGGUCCCAGCUACUUGGGAGGCUGAGGUAGGAGGUUUGUUUGGUCUCAGGAGUUCGAGGUUGCAGUGAGCUAUGAUCAUGCCUUUGCACUCCAGCCUGGCUGACAGAGCGAGACCCUGUCCCCUCCUAAAAAAGAAAAGUCUAGCAACUUGAGUGUGGCAGUGGCCAACUUGAUGGUACCUAACAAUGGGAUUGCAAACUCUUUGAGGAAAGGAACUGUCAUCCUGAACUCAGCAUAGAACCAAGCACUGGGUUGUUACAUGGUGGGUGGUAAGCAAAUGCCAUGGAAUGCAACAGACCCCUUUUUUUGCUGCUGUAAACUGUGGUAUUUUAACCUAGUAGUGAAUGGCCCAAGGAAAAAAAUACUGCAGGAAAUAUAGUAAUAGAUGAAUUUGGAUAAAGGGUAUAUGAGUGUUUUGGAGUACUAUUCUUACAACUUCUCUGCAAGUUUAAAAUGAUAAUCCAAAAUUUAAAAACUUAUUUUCAGUUCAUCAAACUACUCUUAAAAUGUGUAAAACUAUACCUGAAUUUAAAAGCAACAAAACUCAUAUUGCAAGUCUUGGCAAACUGAGAGAUAGGAGCAGAAAACAAUAGUGGAUGCCUAUAAACGGAUCAAGAAAAUGGAGUGAGAAUUUACUGGAAAGAAGGACAAAUGAGCAUCAAAAUCAGCAGGUUUGGGUUUUUCCAGAGAUCAGUGCCUGAUACUGGUUCCCAGAUGAUAUCUCCCAAGAGCCCGGUUCCCAGGGUGCGUUCCAGCCUCUGUCCGCCAGGCUUCCCACCGAGUCUUGUGCCAAUAGUAGUUGCCAGCACAUUCUGCCUCACAAGUUGCCGGCUCCACCACUACUAUCCUGUCCCACCUACGUCCAAGAUACGCAUCUGGCUUUUCUGCUUUGAAUUCAGCAAGUCAUCUCCUCUCCUGUCAUGUAACUCCCUCUGUGACUCAGCCUACCCAGCCACACUCCUCAGUGCUUUGUGGCAAAACUCAACCUGACCCCCCCUUCAGAGAAAGAGAAAUAAGUGUCAGGGUUGAAGUUUCAGCUGUAAAGUGAUGUUUCCCAUACUCAUAAACUUACGUAGCAAUGAGGAACUGGAGUCUAUUUUUGACUGUUGUAGUGACCUUUGUGCAUACCCCAAAAGACAGAGGAGCAUUGAGCUAAUGUAGCCAUCCCAUGAAGCCUCAGUAGCUCUAAUAGUCCUUUUAGUUGUUUCUGGGUGCCAGUUCUUGCACUUUAAUACAAUUCUUGGCUGGGCACCAUGGCUCACAACUGUAAUCCCAGUACUUUGGGAGGCCAAGGCAGGAGGACCACUGGAGGCCAGGAGUUCAAGACCACCCUGGGCAACAUAGCAAGACCUCAUCUCUGCAAGGUCAAAAAAUUAACUGAGCGUGGUGGUUCAUGCCUAUAAUCCCAGCUACUCAGGCGAUGGGAGGAUCCCUUAAGCCCAGGAGUUGGAGACUGCAGUGAGCCAAGAUUGCACCACUACCCUCCAGCCUGGGUGACAGAGCAAGACUCUGCCUCAAAAACCAACCAGCCAAACAAACAAAAAAUGUAAUUCCUCCCAUCCUAACUCUUCAUAUUAGUAAAUCUUCAAUAAAAUGUAUAUGGGAAAUCAAUAUGGCACCCUCAAACCUAGUUGUAAUAGUCAGGAGAAGACCAUUCUAGCCUUUAAAAUCAGUCCUGUUGACAUCAAUGUUUUUACCUCCAGUUCCUCUCCACCCUUCUCGACCUCCUGAUUUCAUGUAGGCGAGCAGUUUAGGACAAUGAGAGUCACAGGAUUUUAAAUAACUUAAUUCCUAGGUGUGUUUGGUAUGAAAACAAAGAUAACCCUGUUCAACAGUGAAUUUGUGCCCCUGGGUGAACGGCCAGGUGUUCUUUCAACUGAACUGUGAGACUAAUUUCUUCCUGGCCUCUGGAAACCAGCUGAAGCAGGGGGCCAGCUGGUCUAUCUUCAAUCUUGCAUACCAACAUCUUUUUCUGAUUCACAGAUUUCCUUUAUCCCCAGCACUUCCUCUGGUAUGUGCAUCCCAGACAGUAAGUGAUAUCUAUUAUUGGAUUUGGGCGUUUUAAAAUCAUGAGCCUUCUGGAGGGGAGGGAAGAGGAAGGAGGCUGGACGGUUACAUUAGAAUAUUUCCAGAGAGAACCUCACUUUAAUCUCAUCCACCUGACUUCUGUGCCCCAGAUAACCCCCAUAUUUGGGAGGGAUGACAUCACGGUAACUGACAAUGGAAUUAUGACCAUUGCUCUUUUUAAUAUUUAAAUGAUACACAGACUCAGAGAAAACAAGUUUACAUAUAGUCAUAAUAUCCAUAACUAGGAAUAUAAAACAAGAAGCUAUGGAGAGUCUUAUCUAGUGAAGAAAUCUCUUUUAGAAAGUUUCUGAUGACUUUCAGUGGCAAAGCAUAGCUCUUUCAUAAUUUAUCAACCCACUUUCAAUGAUUUGAGAUUUGGAGAGGACCCAGCCAUAGAUUUACCUGGUGAGUCACAGAGUAGAACCUGAUAUGAGAAAGCAGGACCCUAUAUCUAUCAGCCUAAUGGUUCUCAGAAUACCAGGUCAUAGCCAUCAUUUCUUUUCCCAAAUAGCUGUAACAGGCAUACCUCGUUUUACUGGGCUUCACUUUCUUGUGUUUUGGAGAUGGUAUGUCUUUUACAAACUGAAAGUUUGUAGAAACCUGCAUUGAGCAAGUCUACCAGUGCCAUUUUUUCAACAACAUGUGCUCACUUCAUGUCUCUGUCACAUUUUAGUAAUUCUUGCAAUCUUUCAAAAGUGUUUAUUAAGAUAAAAAACAAAAGAAAGGAUAUGAAAAUAAAGAGAAAAAGGAAGAAAAUUUGUUAUUAUUAUACCUGUCAUAGUACCUGUGAUCCGUGAUCUUUCAUAUUACUAUUGUAAUUGUUUUGGGGCACCAUGAACCUCAUCCAUAUAAGAUGGUGAACAUAAUAAAUGUUGUGCGUGUUCUGAGUGUUCCACCAACCUGCCAUUCCUUCAUCUCUCUCCCUCUCCUCAGGCUUCCCUAUUCCUUGAGACACAACAGUAUUGAAAUUAAUUAAUAAAGUUAUAGCGUCCUCCAAGUGUUCAAGUGAAAGGAAGAGUUGCACAUCUCUCACUUUAAUUCAAAAGCUAGAAAUGAUUAAGCUUAGUGAGGAAGGCAUAUCAAAAGCAAAGACAGUCUGAAAACCAAGACUUUUGUGCCAAACAGCCAAGGUGUGAAUGCAGAGAGAAAGAUCUUGCACCAAAUUAAAAUGGUACUCCAGUGAACACAUGAAUGAUAAGAAACGGAAAAACAGCCUUGCUGAUACGGAGAGAGUUUGAGUGGUCUGGAUAGAAGAUCAAACCAGCCACAACAUUCCCUAAUGUUUGUAAGCCAAAGCCUAAUCCAGAGCAAAGCCCUAACUCUUCAAUUCUAUGAAGGCUGAGAGAGGUGAGAAACUGCAGAAGAAAAGUUGAAAGGUAGCAGAGGAUGGUUCAUGAGAUUUAAGAAACAAAGCUGUCUCCAUAACAUAAAAGUGCAAGAUGAAGCAGCAAGUGCUGAAACAGAGGCUGCAGCAAGCUAUCCAGAAGAUCUAGCUAAGAUCAUUGAUGAAAUGGUUGCACCAAACAGCAAAUUUUCAAUGUAAACAACCUUCUAUUGGAAGAAGAUGCCAUGUAGCAUUUUCAUAGCUAGAGGAGAAGUCAAUGCCUGACCUCAAAGCUUCAAAGGACAGGCUGACUUUCUUGUUAGGGGCUAAUAUAGCUGGUAACUUUAAGUUGAAGCCAUUGCUCAUUUACCAUUCUGAAAAUCCUAGGGCACUUAAGAAUUAUGCUAAAUCUUUUCUGCCUGUGCUCUCUAAAUGGAGCAACAAAGCCUGAAUGAUAGCACAUCUGUUUAUAGUAUGGUUUACUGAAUAUUUUAAGCCCAUUGUUGAGACCUGCUUCUCAGAAAAAAAAAAAAAAAAAAGAUUCCUUUCAAAAUAUUACUGCUCAUUGACAAUGCAUGUGGUCACCCAAGAGCUCUGAUGGAGAUAAAUGAGAUUAAUGUUGUUUUCAUGCCUGCUAACACAACACCCAUUCUACAGCCCAUGGGUCAAGGAGUAAUUUCUGCUGUUAAGCCUUAUUAUUUGAGAAACACAUUUUAUAAGGCUAUAGCUGGCAUUCCUCUGAUAAAUCUGGGAAGGAUAAUUGAAAACCUUCUGGGAAGAAUUCACCAUUCUAUACACUGUUAAGAAAAUUCACGAUUCAUGGAAAGAAGUCAAAAUAUCAGCAUUAACAAGAGUUUGGGAGAAGUUGAUUCCAACCCUCAUGGAUGACUUUGAGGGGCUUAAGACUUCAGUGGAGGAAGUUACUGCAGAUGUGGUGGAAAUAGCAAAAGAACUAGACUCGUAAAUGGAGCCUGAAGAUGUGAUUGAAUUGCAUAAUCUCAUGAUCAAACUUAACAGAUAAGUAGUUGCUUCUUAUGGAUCAGCAAAGUGUUUUGUUUUUUUUUUUGAGAUAGAAUCUACUCUUGGUGAAGAUACUGUGAACAAUGUUGAAAUAAUAACAAAGGAUGUUGAAUCUUACAUAAACUGAGUUGAUUAAGCAGUAGCAAGGUUUGAGAGGAUUGACUCCAAUUUUGCAAGAAGUGAAAUUGUGAGUAAAAUGCUAUCAAACAGCAUUGCAUGCUACAGAGAAAUCUGUCACGAAAGGAAGAGUCAACUGUUGCAGCCACCUUCAUUGUCUUGUUUUAAGAAAUUGCCACAGCCAGCCCAGCCUUCAACAACCACCACCCCGAUCCAUCAGCAGCCAUCACUGUUAAAGCAAAACAAUUGUGACUUGCUAAAGGCUCAGAUAAUUGUUAGCAUUUUUUAGCAAUCGAGUAUUUUUAAAUUAAGUAUGCACAUCGUUUUUUACCCUAUGUUGUAGUCUGCUAUGCAUGCAAUAGCAUUAUGUCUAAAAAACAUAAUUUUUAUAUGCACUGGGAAACCAAAAAAUUCAUGUGAGCUACUUUAUUGGUGUAUUUAUUGUGGUGGUCUGGAACUGAACCUGCAAUAUCGUCAAUGUGUGCCUGUAUAAGAUUCUCCAUGCACUUAAAAGGACAUUUGAAAGUCAUGAGUAAGUGAUAGAGGAACUCUGGUGACUUGAAGCUUGUUUACUUUUAGCAGUAUGUACCUGUUGACACUUCUAGUAUAAUUUAUAUUCUUUCUCUCAUAAGUAUUUUACAGGAAAUGCGUUUUCCUUUGCUAGUGAUAUAUGCACUUUGGUUUUCAGGAAGCUGCGGUGCUUUGGUUGAAGCUCUCUGUCUGUUUUAGAGAAAAGACUUACAAUGACCUCCUGAUAUAGUUUGGAUAUUUGUCUGCUCCAAAUCUCAUAUUGAAAUUUGAUCCCCAAUUUUAGAGGUAGGAUAUAGUGGGAGGUGUGUGGGUUACAGAGGCAGAUCCCUCAUGGACAACUUGGUUCUGUCCUCUGGGUAAUGAGUGACUUCUCACUCUAUUAGUUUUUGCAAGAGCUGACUUUUGAAAAGAGCCUGGCACCUUCCUCCCCUCUCUCUCUCUUGCUUCCUUUCUCUCUCUCCGUGUGAUGCCUGCUUCUCUUUGCCUUCCACCAUGAGUGGAAGCUUCCUGAGGCCCUCAGCAGAAGCUGAUGCUGGCAUCCUGUUUCUUGUACAGCCUGUAGAACUGUAAGCCAGAUAAACUUCUUUUUUUAUAAAUUACCCAGCCUCAGGUGUUCCUUCAUAGCAAGGCAAACAGUCUAGGACACCCCCCAAAUGUGAGCUGCACCAUAAGGCAAACUGGGAAACCUCCUUUAGUUUUGUGUAUGUGAGAAUUUUGAUUGACUGAACCAAGGAAUCACCCUCGUAACCACUGCAGAAGGCCAUUCUCAUGUCAUUUGCACACAUUUAGCUUGCCUGAAGUGUGUUCUAUAAAAUGCACCCAGAUUUUCAGGCAUUUAAAAUUUAUUUAUUUAUUAUUAUUAUUAUUUUAAACCUCCUACUUUCUCUCUCUCUCUUUUUUUUUUUUUUUUGAGAUGGGAUCUUGCCCUGUCAUCCAAUCUGGAGUGCAGUAGUGCAAUCACAGCUCGCUUCAGCCUCCAACUCCUAGCCCCAAGCAAUCCUCCUGCCUCAGCCUCUCAAGUAGCUAGGACUAUAGGUACACACCAUUGCACCUGGCUAAUUAAAAAUUUUUUUUUCUUUUUAGAGACAGGGUCUCACUCUAGGUCUUGCCUAGGCUGUUCUCAAAUUCCUGGCCUCAAAAGAUCCUCCUGCCUCAGCUUCCUAAAGUGCUGGGAUUGCAGGCAUGAGCCACCAUGCCCAGUUGCAUGUUUUAAUGGAGAGAGAUGUCCUGGGCAUUUGAACUGCAGAUUCCCUUAAACUGGACAUUGUCAGCUAUUUACGUAUUACAAAAACAAUUGUGUUUCAUGUAAAGUAUUAAACAUCAACAUUACGUCACCACAAGGGUGAUUACAGCAGCCUUCACUCCUAGGUGUGCGUUGCCUACACAAACAGAGUUGUUUGUCUGCAGCGUUGUUUUCAUUUGGUAACAAUUGUAAGAGUUGAAGUAGCACCUUAAGGAGCAAUUUUCAGAGGUGAAGAAAUCAGUUUUCAAAAGUGAAUUCCUUAUAGUUAAUAACUAACCAAUAAAAAAAUAAAGCUAUCCCCAUGGCACAAAUGCCCAUGGCAAAAGGAAAUAAGACAAGAGUCGUUUUAAAAAGUAGCUUUGAAAAACAAAAAAGGAUUUAAAAUUCAAAGACUUUGGGAAAAUUCAACUUAACCAAUAACAUGAGUAACGACUAUUACUAUUUCCUUAGUGCUUACCAUAUGCCAAAUACCAUUGUACCUGCUUCACAUAGAUUAUUUCAUCUCAUUCUCACAGCAUUCUGUGAAGCGCAGGUACUUUAUUAUCUAUCCCUGUUUGCCAGAUAAGGAAGCUGAGACUUCAUACAGUGACUUACAAGUUCAGACAGCCUCCAGCAAACACAGGAAACAGGAUUCGAACCCAUGCAGUCUGCCUCAGAGCCAAAGCCCUUGGCCAUUUUUCUAUCCUGCCUUCCACAGAUCAUUUCUGCCUACAGCAGAGGUCAGAAACUGACAACCGGCUGGCCUUACCUAGCCUUAGGUAACAGUGAUGGCUAUUGAGCACUUACUAUGUGUCAGGAUUAUUUUACACACAUUCAUUUGUUCCUUCAUUUAAUCUUCAAAGCAACUCCAUGAGAUAGGUGGCAGUUAUUAUCCCCAUUUUACAGAUGAGAAAACUGAGACCAAGAGGAAGUAGCACUUCCCAAAUGUUAGCAGAACUAACAUCCAAAUCCAGACUGUCUCAUUCCAGAAUCUCCCCCUCUUCACCAUUAUGCUAAAAAUACAAUUGUCUGCCAACAUGACAAACCUGGAUGUUUCACAAAAAAAUUGAAGGCUUCUGACUUGUCAUGAAAAAAAAAAACAAAAAACAAAAAACCAGAAGACUUGUCCUCUUGGACCAAGCAACAGUCACUUGUAACAAUGGGCAGCUGCCCAUUUUAGAUGAGGUAUCUCCUACCUAGUUGCCACCACCCCUCACUUAGGCUGCUUUGCUCUUUGAUUGCCGGCCUGAACUUUGGGGACAUUCUAUUUUGCAGUCUCAGUCUAAGGUAUCCCUGAUAGUGGAUCUGCCUCACUUAACAAGCUAAAUGUCUUGUGUUUUAUGUUUUUUAUUGUAGCACAAGUUGUUUAACGUUCUCUAAAAAGCACUCCCCACAAAUAGCAGUAAAUGCCUCUUUCCUAUUUUCUUCCCUGUCCCUUGCCCCAAAAGAAAGGCAGCUCUGCAGAACUAGUAUUUGUGCCCAACCAAGUGAGAAGAUAUGAGGCUGAUAGCCUUUUCUCUCUCUUCUUGGUUGGUGGCACUCUGGUAGUGCUUGGUUAGCAAUAACCAAGCAUCUCCCGGCUUUGUUAUGUGUCAUAGUAGGCUAUUGUGUGACAUAGAGACACCUGGCUUUUGUACACGCCAGAGCAAAAUUCAACUACAACAUCCAGAAUUGAAGAGAAGGAUAUUGGCAGGUUCUGCCAUCAUCACCACCCUCAUGCUGGCCUCCUUUGGGCCUCAAAGGCCUACAGUAGCUCCGGGCACCACAUCCAGAUGUAGAAACAACAGAGAUAGAAAGAAAUCAAUUCUUCUUGUGUCUCCUUCUCAAGAGUGAGGAGAUCCUUCCUAGAAGCUCCCAACUGAAACCCCUAAACCAAGACUGGCAAGGGAAAUGGAAGCACCAUUAUCGACUGAUUAACCAAGAUUUACUCCUGAUCUGGCAAUGGAGUCAACUUCCUUUGAGUGCUGAAUACCUGAAUAAAAUAGAUUCUGUUAACAAGGAAGAA